GCUCUGUGCUGGGCUCCAGAAGUACAGACACAAAGGAGAGAAUCCCUGUGCCUUUGUCCUUGAGAAAGUCACUUCACAUCCCUGACCCUCAUUUUGCCUAGGUGAACGUUUUCUCUGCCCGCCUCAGAGGGUCAUGAGGCUUACCCAGGACAGUGCUCGGCACAUGACAAAGGGCUGCGGCACCUGUGGUUAAUUAGCAGAACCCUCUUAAACAAUCUCCAACUAACCACCUUGCCAGAUUACUGGAGGCUCUCCAUGCCCCGCAGCAAGCACGGCGCCUGUGCCCAGGACACACCAAACCCUUGAAGCUAGCAGGGCCUUCCCACCUCUCCAGCCCCUUCUUCCAAAAGAUCGACGCUUGACCCCAUUUCUGGCAAGAUUUCUGGCAAGAUUCUACCUGACCCCUGCUUCAAGUAUAGAGGGACAGAGGAAGGAAGACAACAGCAUCUCUGAAAGACAUCCUCAUCAUAUACAGCAUUCUCUCUUUGACUUCUUUCCCUCUGAGUUUAUCAGUUGAUUAAGAAACUCACUGGAUACCAACCGUGUACUAGGUGUAGGAAGGGGGAUCCCUAACCAUGAGAGACUCACUGUCCGGUUUGGAAGAUAACACGUGUGAAAUAGCGCUGCAGUGAUGCUGCUGAUGGUGACGAGGCUGGAAACGAUGGGGAGAAUGAAGAUGAUGGUGGCGCUGCCCAUCCUGAACCACGUACAGUCACAAAGCAUGUUUAUGACCAUGAUCUUAUUUCAUAUUCAAAACUAUCCAAAAGAAACCCAAUUUCAGGGAUGAACAAACGGAAGUAAUAACUGCUCUGAGAUCAGAUAAGAAGAAAAUAGCUGAGUUGGAUUCCAGCUUCUUUUUUUGGGCUCCACAAAUGCCAUUGUCCCCGAGAUAUCACAACUUUUUUCCUUUAAACUGCAGCAGAACGUUGCAAAAUGCACAUGAUCAUUAGACAGUAACUUGAGUAAUUGCCGCAUGGGAAGUGAAUGUGACCAGAGAUCAGAGAGCAGGCCGGUCAGGAGAUGGGGCUGUAGUGAUCAGAAGAGGCUUAGAGGAGAAAGGAGCAACUGAGUGCCGCCUAGGGGGCUGCACAGUAUUUGGACAUGCAAGUGGUAGAGAUGGGAGAUGGGGUGGCAUUCUUGGCAGGAGGAAACAUGUAGGUAAGAAAGGAAGUAAGAGAGUUCAAGGUGUAUCAAGAAACGCCAGACCCUCGUCUGACUGGAAGGAGGGCAUGUACAGUAGAUCUGCUGGAGAAGAGGAGAACUUGGGGACGGUUUCUCCCAAAGGCCUGGAGCAUUUCCCUUCAUUUUGCCAUAGGUGGGAGGGUCCACCCAUCUUCUCUCUGUCAUCCUUGUUGCUUUCAACCCCAAGUCCCUUUAUAAUCAAAUCAAAUCGAAGGACUGUCUGCAGUCUUAGCCCGAAGACAGAGCCUGUCACUUCCGACUUUUUUCUUUUAAAAAUGUCAGAGUGCUGCUGAAACAGGAACAGCAUUGAGGCAAGAGCUGCUCUGACUCACAAAGAGAACAUCAAAGAAGCAGCAGCGAUAAGGGGCUGGCAGUAAUUGUGUGUGUGAGCAGAGUUUUCCUGACACUCUUUGAGGCCUAGGGGCCCCUCUGGGCAGCCUCGUUGUGGAAAGAAGCAUGUGGUUUUCAGAAACAGGGUGACUCACCACACAGGCAGAGUUUGGGGACAGAGAUAUAGUCUUGGUCUGCUGGGACUUUCAGCCAGGAGCCCAGGCUUAGGGUUCUGGGUGUUGCACAUCUCAGGUCUCCAGUGAGCUAAGAUUCAUCUGGCCAUCCAAACAUUCAAGCAUCCAUCCAUCCAUCCACCCAUCCAUCCAUCCAUUUAACUAAUACUAUGAGCACACACUCUAUGUAGGCCCUGUGCUGGGUGCAAGAUGAUAUAGUGGUGACCAAGAUAGACACAGUCCCCGCCUUCAAGAGGCUGACAGUCUAGUGAAGAACAGAUGUAUUGAAGAAAUAAUUACAUGGGUAACUGAAUCACUACUGUGAUAAUGCUGUGAAAGAAAAUAUAGAGUACCCUGAGGGGGCACAUAAUAGGAGAGCUGACCUGUUCUGGGAAGCUGGUCAAUGAAAUCAGGGGCAGAUGCUAGAAGAUGGUGAUACUAAUAACUGUAUGAUCAGCCUUUUAGCACCAUCUCUCCCACCAUCAGGGAUGGUAAGAGUGUAGAACUCACCCUUGUUCUUUCAAACCCUCUCUUUCUCCCCCCUCCCCCUCCCCCUCCUUCUCUCUCUCUCUCUCUACACACACACACACACCCACACACACACACAACCCAUGAUGAGUUAAUGGAACA